GAAAGUCGUGUGCAAUGAAAAAUGCAAGCACGAUUUGGGGAGGGAUUUUUCCUUUACUAGUUUGAAACUUGUCAUAAAUAAGGUUAUUCCCCGCCUACCUUUAC
rfam:Triticum aestivum genome assembly, contig: Triticum_aestivum_CS42_TGACv1_scaffold_569434_7AS